rnacentral:rRNA from 1 species
ACACAUGCAAGUCGAGGGGAAACGACAUCGAAAGCUUGCUUUUGGUGGGCGUCGACCGGCGCACGGGUGAGUAACGCGUAUCCAACCUGCCCACCACUUGGGGAUAACCUUGCGAAAGUAAGACUAAUACCCAAUGAUAUCUCUAGAAGACAUCUGAAAGAGAUUAAAGAUUUAUCGGUGAUGGAUGGGGAUGCGUCUGAUUAGCUUGUUGGCGGGGUAACGGCCCACCAAGGCAACGAUCAGUAGGGGUUCUGAGAGGAAGGUCCCCCACAUUGGAACUGAGACACGGUCCAAACUCCUACGGGAGGCAGCAGUGAGGAAUAUUGGUCAAUGGACGAGAGUCUGAACCAGCCAAGUAGCGUGCAGGAUGACGGCCCUAUGGGUUGUAAACUGCUUUUAUAAGGGAAUAAAGUGAGUCUCGUGAGACUUUUUGCAUGUACCUUAUGAAUAAGGACCGGCUAAUUCCGUGCCAGCAGCCGCGGUAAUACGGAAGGUCCGGGCGUUAUCCGGAUUUAUUGGGUUUAAAGGGAGCGUAGGCCGGAGAUUAAGCGUGUUGUGAAAUGUAGAUGCUCAACAUCUGCACUGCAGCGCGAACUGGUUUCCUUGAGUACGCACAAAGUGGGCGGAAUUCGUGGUGUAGCGGUGAAAUGCUUAGAUAUCACGAAGAACUCCGAUUGCGAAGGCAGCUCACUGGAGCGCAACUGACGCUGAAGCUCGAAAGUGCGGGUAUCGAACAGGAUUAGAUACCCUGGUAGUCCGCACGGUAAACGAUGGAUGCCCGCUGUUGGUCUGAAUAGGUCAGCGGCCAAGCGAAAGCAUUAAGCAUCCCACCUGGGG